CCUUUACGGAAAUGCUCUUAAUUUGCUUCAUAACAACUCUAUAUAAAAGGUGUUGGAAGGUUAGCCUUUGAAUCAAGGCAUCUUGAAUCAACAUUCAACAUCCCUCUGUCUGUGUUUUUGUUUCACACGCGUGCACGUACACACACAAAAAUCAAGAUGGAGGGAUCCAAACGUAUGUUUUCAACUGUCUUCAUCCUCGUCCUGCUCCUUGUGGCUAUUGGUAUCUCUCUCUUUCCUCAUUUUAAUUUCAUCUUUAUAUUUGAUUAGUGAUAUAUUUCUUUCCAAUGCUGAAAGACGUUUCAAGUUUGAAUCCAAAUUCUCUCAUUCAUUUUUAUCAAUGAAUGUUUGGCAGGGACAGGUCCAAUGGUUGCUGAGGGCAAGGUCGAAACAAAGGAGACGUCGAGGACUUGUGAGUCUUUGAGCACGAAAUUCAAGGGACCUUGCUUCCGAUCAAGCAACUGUGCAAAUAUUUGCGAAAAAGAAGGCUUCAAGGGAGGCAAAUGUGUUGGCUUCAGGCUGAGAUGUACGUGCACGAAGAAAUGUUAGUGAUAUAACACACUAACUUAUUUUGGUGCAUGGGAUUGAGAUGAAUGAAAAUUUAUUGCCCUUUUUUUCGUUUUGUUUAAGAGAAUAAAUGACUAACCCUAAUAUAAAUUUUGGGGUUGUGUCCGUGUUUUUGUUCUUAUGCGCUAACAGUGCGUGAGUUAUUUUGUAAUCAAUAAAAUAAGAAAAUAAUAUCGUUCAUUUCUUAAUG
rnacentral:lncRNA from 1 species